UUUGAAAUAGAUGUCUUACAAUUACUCAACUCCUACACCUUAACCAAAAUUUCCUCUCAAGUCUGUCUUCUUUGGAGCAGCUUGGUUCACUCGAUGAAACAGGGGAAAAGGCAUCAAAAGUCAUGAAAUCGAGCUCAGGCGGCGGUGAUGUGAGUGGCGGAUGUUAUCUGCAGCUGAGCAGCAGGAGGCUGGAGAAACCCUUGGUGGGUUUUGAAAAGAAAAGACGGAAACACCCUUUGAAGGAAUCAAAAAGACAGAAUCGGAGUUUGAGGGUGAGGGAGAUGAACGACAAUCCUGGAAUUAUGGGUCUGUUGAGGGUGAAGAGGAGAAGAAGGAAGAAGUUCAUGUACAGGAAAAUCAGAAGGAAAUUGACAACAAUGGCAGCUUUGAAGGUGAAAACGUGCUGGAAUUUGAUGAUACAGAGAGGAUUUGAAGAAGAAAGAUGAGUCCAACCAUGCAGGGGUUGCUAUUGAAGAGCAAUACAAAUGACAUUUACCUGAGAAAAUUACUAAAUAAUUAAGGAGUAUGCAUAAGAGCAAUUUCAAGUUUAUCACCCUUCUAUCAUUGAUUAAUUUGCAGGAACAACAUAUAACAUUUCUCUGGGCACUGCAAAGAAAAUACUUACAAAGAGUUGAAGAGUUUACAGUAUUUGUGACACAUUGUAUACUCCAGAAGUUGUGACACCACUAGAAUUUGAACGAUAGAUUGUUAAAUCAUAACGUUCCGA